rnacentral:rRNA from 1 species
GGGUUGUGAGGUUAAGCGACUAAGCGUACACGGUGGAUGCCCUGGCAGUCAGAGGCGAUGAAGGACGUGCUAAUCUGCGAUAAGCGUCGGUGAGGUGAUAUGAACCGUUAUAACCGGCGAUUUCCGAAUGGGGAAACCCAGUGUGUUUCGACACACUAUCAUUAACUGAAUCCAUAGGUUAAUGAGGCGAACCGGGGGAACUGAAACAUCUAAGUACCCCGAGGAAAAGAAAUCAACCGAGAUUCCCCCAGUAGCGGCGAGCGAACGGGGAGGAGCCCAGAGCCUGAAUCAGUGUGUGUGUUAGUGGAAGCGUCUGGAAAGGCGUGCGAUACAGGGUGACAGCCCCGUACACAAAAAUGCACAUAUUGUGAGCUCGAUGAGUAGGGCGGGACACGUGGUAUCCUGUCUGAAUAUGGGG